GAUGAACGCUGGCGGCGUGCCUAAUACAUGCAAGUCGAGCGGACAGACGAGGAGCUUGCGCCUCUGACGUUACCAACGGGCGGGUGAGUAACACGUGGAUAACCUACCUAUAAGACUGAGGUCACUUCGAGAAACCGGAGCUAAUACCGGGUGAUAUAUUGAACCGGAUGGUUGAAUAGUGAAUUACGGGUUUGCUGUCCCUUCUGGAUGUCACCGCGUCGCAUUGGCUAGUUGGUAAGGUAACGGCUUACGGAGGCAAGGAUGGGUAGCCGACCUGAGAGGGGGAUCGGCCACACUGGAACUGAGACACGGCCCAGACUCUUACGGGAGGCAGCGGUAGGGAAUCUUGGGCGAUGGGCGGAAGCCUGACGGAGCAACGCCGCGUGGGUGAUGAAGGUCUUCGGAGGGUAAAACGCUGUUAUGAGGGAAGACCAAAUGUGUAAGUAACUAUGCACGUCUUGACGGUACCUAAUUAGAAAGCAACGGCUAACUACGUG
rnacentral:rRNA from 1 species